AUUGAACGCUGGCGGAAUGCUCUACACAUGCAAGUCGAACGGCAGCACGGGGGCAACCCUGGUGGCGAGUGGCGAACGGGUGAGUAAUACAUCGGAACGUGCCCGGUCGUGGGGGAUAACGUAGCGAAAGUUACGCUAAUACCGCAUACGAUCUGAGGAUGAAAGCGGGGGACCUUCGGGCCUCGCGCGAUCGGAGCGGCCGAUGUCAGAUUAGGUAGUUGGUGGGGUAAAGGCCUACCAAGCCGACGAUCUGUAGCUGGUCUGAGAGGACGACCAGCCACACUGGGACUGAGACACGGCCCAGACUCCUACGGGAGGCAGCAGUGGGGAAUUUUGGACAAUGGGCGCAAGCCUGAUCCAGCCAUUCCGCGUGCAGGACGAAGGCCUUCGGGUUGUAAACUGCUUUUGUAUGGAACGAAAAGGCUCUGGCUAAUACCUGGGGCUCAUGACGGUACCGUAAGAAUAAGCACCGGCUAACUACGUG
rnacentral:rRNA from 1 species